AGAAUCAACGCUGGCGGCGCGCUUAACACAUGCAAGUCGAACGAGAAAGCGGGAGCAAUCUCGCAAGUAAAGUGGCGUACGGGUGAGUAACACGUGGGUUAUCUACCUCUUAGUGGGGAAUAACGCUGGGAAACCGGCGCUAAUACCGCAUAAGCCCGAAGGGGGAAAGUCGCAAGACGCUGAGAGAGGAGCCCGCGGCCGAUUAGCCAGUUGGUAGGGUAAUGGCCUACCAAAGCUUAGAUCGGUAGCCGGCCUGAGAGGGCACACGGCCACACUGGCACUGAAACACGGGCCAGACUCCUACGGGAGGCAGCAGUGGGGAAUCUUGCACAAUGGGGGAAACCCUGAUGCAGCGACGCCGCGUGAACGAUGAAGCCCUUCGGGGUGUAAAGUUCUUUCGGCAGGGAAGAUGAUGACGGUACCUGCAGAAGCAGCUGCGGCUAACUACGUGCCAGCAGCCGCGGUAAUACGUAGGCAGCGAGCGUUGUUCGGAGUUACUGGGCGUAAAGGGUGUGUAGGCGGCUUUCUAAGUUUGGUGUGAAAUCUCCCGGCUCAACCGGGAGGGUGCGCCGAAAACUGGGAGGCUAGAGUGUGGGAUGGGAGAGUAGAAUUCCUGGUGUAGCGGUGAAAUGCGUAGAUAUCAGGAGGAAUACCGGUGGUGUAGACGGCUCUCUGGACCGCAACUGACGCUGAGACACGAAAGCGUGGGUAGCAAACAGGAUUAGAUACCCUGGUAGUCCACGCCCUAAACGAUGCAUAUUUGGUGUAGGUCAUUCAUUUGAUCUGUGCCGGAGCUAACGCGUUAAAUAUGCCGCCUGGGGAGUACAGUCGCAAGGCUG
rnacentral:rRNA from 1 species